CGGCAGCGACGCUGAUGCGUUGUUGGGUAGGGGAGCGUUCUGUAAGCCUGCGAAGGUGUGCUGUGAGGCAUGCUGGAGGUAUCAGAAGUGCGAAUGCUGACAUAAGUAACGAUAAAGCGGGUGAAAAUCCCGCUCGCCGGAAGACCAAGGGUUCCUGUCCAACGUUAAUCGGGGCAGGGUGAGUCGACCCCUAAGGCGAGGCCGAAAGGCGUAGUCGAUGGGAAACAGGUUAAUAUUCCUGUACUUGGUGUUACU
rnacentral:rRNA from 1 species